ACCUUACUACUUGGAUAACCGUGGUAAUUCUAGAGCUAAUACAUGCUUAAAAAUCCCGACUCCGGAAGGGAUGCCUUUAUUAGAUUUAAAAACCAAUGCCCCCCCCGGGGCUUCUCUGGUGAUUCAUGAUAACUGCGCGAACCGCAUGGCCUCGCGCCGGCGGUGGUUCAUUCAAAUUUCUUCCCUAUCAACUUUCGAUGUUUGGGUAGUGGCCAAACAUGGUUGCAACGGGUAACGGAGGGUUAGGGCUCGGCCCCGGAGAAGGAGCCUGAGAAACGGCUACUACAUCCAAGGAAGGCAGCAGGCGCGCAAAUUACCCAAUCCCGACACGGGGAGGUAGUGACAAUAAAUACUGAUACAGGGCUCUUUUGGGUCUUGUAAUUUGGAAUGAGUACAAUUUAAAUCCCUUAACGAGGAACAAUUGGAGGGCAAGUCUGGUGAACGUUGCUGGCGCCAGAGAUAGCCGCCCCUCGAUAAAUAAAGCAGCUAGUCGAGUGCUCAUGGAGUGACGGGUGAGCACCGGCGAGACCACCUGGUUCGGGGAAGGCUAAGGGUCGCCGCAUUUGGGGGGGGGGCCUAUGCUGAUCCCGAGCAGAGCCGGUAUUUUCGCGGCCUGUGUAGAGCGCGCCAAGGUGUCGGUUCCGGGGACCCCCUCCCCCUGCCCAGCGCGGAGCGGGGGUUCCCGGGGCUUAAGGUACGUGCCAAUCCCCUGCGAAAGCAGGGCCCUGCGGACGAGCGCCCGUUACGCGAAGCCGCAGGGGGCCUCUUAGCGAGGCCGCGAUCUCAGCAAGGUUUCCACCUUCGGGGGCUCGAGCAAAAAAGAUCAAGGGGGGGGGUCCGUCUCGGCGCGUCGGCCGCCUGUCGUGCUCAGCUCAGCACAGCGCAGCGCAGCACGCGUGCCGUGGAAGGAUCGCUUGCUUUUUUUUUGGGCCUUCCGGGGGGGAGACUUGGCUCGGGAUGCCUUAUAAAUGGCCAGCAGCCGCGGUAAUUCCAGCUCCAAUAGCGUAUAUUAAAGUUGUUGUGGUUAAAAAGCUCGUAGUUGAACCUUGGGCCUAGCCGGCCGGUCCGCCUCACCGCGUGCACUGGUCCGGCCGGGCCUUUCCCCCCCCGUGGAACCCCCAUGCCCUUCGCUUGGGCGUGGCGGGGAAACGGGGACUUAGUUACUUUGAAAAAAUUAGAGUGCUCCAGGCAGGCCUAUGCUCGAAUAUCUUAGCAUGGAAUAAUGAAAUAGGGCGUGCGGUUCUGUUUUGUUGGUUUCUAGGACCGCCGUAAUGAUUAAUAGGGACAGUCGGGGGCAUCAGUAUUCAAUUGUCAGAGGUGAAAUUCUUGGAUUUAUUGAAGACUGGCUAUUGCGAAAGCAUUUGCCAAGGAUGUUUUCAUUAAUCAGGAACGAAAGUUAGGGGAUCGAAGACGAUCAGAUACCGUCGUAGUCUUAACCAUAAACUAUGCCGACUAGGGAUCGGACGAUGUUAUCUUUUGACUCGUUCGGCACCUUGCGAGAAAUCAAAGUGCUUG
rnacentral:rRNA from 1 species